rnacentral:rRNA from 1 species
UACAGAGGUCUCAAGCGUUGUUCGGAUUCAUUGGGCGUAAAGGGUGCGUAGGCGGCGCGGUAAGUCGGGUGUGAAAUCUCGGAGCUUAACUCCGAAACUGCAUUCGAUACUGCCGUGCUUGAGGACUGGAGAGGAGACUGGAAUUUACGGUGUAGCGGUGAAAUGCGUAGAGAUCAUGAGGAAGACCAGUGGCGAAGGCGGGUCUCUGGACAGUUCCUGACACUGAGGCACGAAAGCUAGGGGAGCAAACGGG